rnacentral:rRNA from 1 species
GAUGAACGCUGGCGGCGUGCCUAAUACAUGCAAGUCGAGCGAACGGACGAGAAGCUUGCUUCUCUUAUGUUAGCGGCGGACGGGUGAGUAACACGUGGAUAACCUACCUAUAAGACUGGGAUAACUUCGGGAAACCGGAUCUAAUACCGGAUAAUAUUUUGAACCGCAUGGUUCAAAAGUGAAAGACGGUCUUGCUGUCACUUAUAGAUGGAUCCGCGCUGCAUUAGCUAGUUGGUAAGGUAACGGCUUACCAAGGCAACGAUGCAUAGCCGACCUGAGAGGGUGAUCGGCCACACUGGAACUGAGACACGGUCCAGACUCCUACGGGAGGCAGCAGUAGGGAAUAUUCCGCAAUGGGCGAAAGCCUGACGAAGCAACGCCGCGUGGGUGAUGAAGGUCUUCGGAUCGUAAAACUCUGUUAUUAGGGAAGAACAUAUGUGUAAGUAACUGUGCACAUCUUGACGGUACCUAAUGAGAAAGCCACGGCUAACUACGUG